rnacentral:rRNA from 1 species
UACGUAGGGUGCGAGCGUUGUCCGGAAUUAUUGGGCGUAAAGAGCUCGUAGGCGGUGUGUCACGUCGGCCGUGAAAACCUGCAGCUUAACUGUGGGCGUGCGGUCGAUACGGGCAUCACUGGAGUUCGGCAGGGGAGACUGGAAUUCCUGGUGUAGCGGUGAAAUGCGCAGAUAUCAGGAGGAAUACCGGUGGCGAAGGCGGCAUCCUGGACCGACAUUGACGCUGAGGAGCGAAAGCUAGGGGAGCAAACGGG